GGGGAAUAUUGCACAAUGGGCGAAAGCCUGAUGCAGCGACGCCGCGUGCGGGAUGACGGCCUUCGGGUUGUAAACCGCUUUCGGCAGGGAAGAAGCCGUAAGGUGACGGUACCUGCAGAAGAAGCGCCGGCUAACUACGUGCCAGCAGCCGCGGUAAUACGUAGGGCGCAAGCGUUGUCCGGAAUUAUUGGGCGUAAAGAGCUCGUAGGCGGUUCGUCGCGUCUGCUGUGAAAUCCUCAGGCUCAACCUGGGGCGUGCAGUGGGUACGGGCGGACUGGAGUGCGGUAGGGGUGACUGGAAGUCCUGGUGUAGCGGUGGAAUGCGCAGAUAUCAGGAGGAACACCGAUGGCGAAGGCAGGUCACUGGGCCGCAACUGACGCUGAGGAGCGAAAGCAUGGGGAGCGAACA
rnacentral:rRNA from 1 species